CGAAUAGGAAAAACCAUACGAAUAGGUUUACACUCCUAGCAGUCGAACUGGAACAGCAUACAAUAAAUCCCCCCAAGAACGAGACAAGGCUCCGUUUUGAGGGUCAAGCAGGAACAGACAGAGCUGUGGGUUUAUUGUUCUUAUAUACACAUUCUUACACAUUAGUACCACCCACAAGGUUUUGGAAAACAACCAAUAAACACAUACAAUACACUCAGACACUCCCACACAAAAUCCUCCCCUCUGCCUGUGAUACAAUUACCUAACACAAUGGAUAAUG
rnacentral:lncRNA from 1 species